CCUACGGGAGGCAGCAGUGAGGAAUAUUGGUCAAUGGGCGAGAGCCUGAACCAGCCAAGCCGCGUGAAGGAAGAAGGAUCUAUGGUUUGUAAACUUCUUUUAUAUGGGAAUAAAGUGCGGAACGUGUUCCUUUUUGUAUGUACCAUAUGAAUAAGCAUCGGCUAACUCCGUGCCAGCAGCCGCGGUAAUACGGAGGAUGCGAGCGUUAUCCGGAUUUAUUGGGGUUAAAGGGUGCGUAGGUGGUUAAGUAAGUCAUAGGUGAAAGUUUGUGGCUCAACCAUAAAAUUGCCGUUGAAACUGGUUGGCUGGAGUAUAUGAGAGGUAGGCGGAAUGCGUGGUGUAGCGGUGAAAUGCAUAGAUAUCACGCAGAACUCCGAUUGCGAAGGCAGCUUACUAAACUAUAACUGACGCUGAGGCACGAAAGCGUGGGGAUCAAACAGGAUUAGAUACCCCUGUAGUC
rnacentral:rRNA from 1 species